CAUUCUUCUGCGGUCAUCCAUUCCGUAGUACAAGACACUUCUAGAGGGUGAUUGAUCACGACCAGCUCUACCUGACUCUUGAUAAAAGGCUUCCAUUGACUUGGGAAUAUUGUAGUGGCAAACAAUCCUAACAUCCUUCCGGUCUAUGCCCUAGAUAUAUUGUGUUCCUCAUACAUUAGCUCCAAAUGUACAUAAAUCAUAUCAUACAAUAGAGAGACUGAAAAUAAUCAAAAUCAUACUAAAAUAAUAGCAAUAGUUACAUACCAUCCUGAAGCAACACCAUAAUCACAUAAACCGCACAUACUCCAGAGUUGCUCCAAACAAAAAUGCAGCAACAAAAUACCCAGUUGAUAAGAUAAUAACAAAUUAAUCAUCAGUUUUUUUGUGAAAAAUAAACCUACAAAUAGAAGCAUAUGCAAUGGUAUUGAAGCUACUUUCACAAAAAGCCUAAUGGUUGCAGUUGAAGAAUGCAAUAGAGGGAAGGAAGACUAUUUGUGACGCAUUUGAAGUAUGGCCAUACCCAAAAGCAACUGUGGCCACAACAACCUGCGUCUUCGAAGUAAUCCAAUCAUCCAAAACAGAACUCCGCAACUUAUUGUUCAAGCCCGC
rnacentral:lncRNA from 1 species